UUCACAAGACACCAUGACAGAACGAGGCAGAGGAAAUGUGACCCAACCCGGAGGAAGCCCAGGGCCCCCAUCUGGAGCCAGGCUUGGAUGAGGGCCUGUCAGCGAAUGCCUGGUGGCUGGACUUGCCAUGGAGCCAGGCAGAGCCAAAAUAUGCCACAUGGAGCU